rnacentral:rRNA from 1 species
UACGGGGGGGGCAAGCGUUGUUCGGAUUUACUGGGCGUAAAGGGCGGGUAGGCGGCCACCGCAAGUCGACUGUGAAAUCUCCGGGCUUAACCCGGAAAGGUCAGCCGAUACUGCGGGGCUAGAGUGCAGAAGGGGCAACUGGAAUUCUCGGUGUAGCGGUGAAAUGCGCAGAUAUCAGGAGGAACACCAAUGGCGAAGGCAGCUCGCUGGAACGGUACUGACGCUGAGGCGCGAAAGCGUGGGGAGCGAACAGG